ACGAGAGAGAAGGAGCUUGCUCCUUCGAUCGAGUGGCGAACGGGUGAGUAACGCGUGAGGAACCUGCCUCAAAGAGGGGGACAACAGUUGGAAACGACUGCUAAUACCGCAUAAGCCCACGGGUCGGCAUCGACCUGAGGGAAAAGGAGUGAUCCGCUUUGAGAUGGCCUCGCGUCCGAUUAGCUAGUUGGUGAGGUAAUGGCCCACCAAGGCGACGAUCGGUAGCCGGACUGAGAGGUUGAACGGCCACAUUGGGACUGAGACACGGCCCAGACUCCUACGGGAGGCAGCAGUGGGGAAUAUUGCACAAUGGGGGAAACCCUGAUGCAGCGACGCCGCGUGGAGGAAGAAGGUCUUCGGAUUGUAAACUCCUGUUGUUGAGGAAGAUAAUGACGGUACUCAACAAGGAAGUGACGGCUAACUACGUGCCAGCAGCCGCGGUAAAACGUAGGUCACAAGCGUUGUCCGGAAUUACUGGGUGUAAAGGGAGCGCAGGCGGGAAGACAAGUUGGAAGUGUAAU
rnacentral:rRNA from 1 species